UAGGUCAAACUCCGCAGCAUAAGGAAAUCCUCACGGAAGCAGGAAACAUCGCCUCUAUGAAUUCAGCUUUUUCAUCCGUUAUAGGGUUUCCUUGUCUCCCCAUAUUGCCCUGGCAUUCGAUGCUGCUCUCGCGCCGGUCUCACCAAUCCCGCUGGAUUUUACCUGCACAGGACUUAGCUCGAUGAGGAUCUGGUGGAGCCCAAAUCGAGGGUCUAUCCGGUGUUGGUUGUCGUCGACGAUUGCAACGCUCGAGAAAAGAAUAGUCUCCGAGUGGCCCCGAGAGAAGGUUGACAAGUUGCCAAACUUCACACCCUAUUCUUGCACCAUAAUGUAGACCAAGUUAUCAGAACACAUACUGCUUGGGAUGAGCAGCAGCAAGUGUGGAGGACAUAAAAAAAGGGAACCACUUUUAACUGCAUUGUGCUAUCUAUCGUUAUACAGGUUGAUGACAAAGGAUAGUCCUACAAGCUAAGUAUAUGAAUGAUGGUUGUGUAUCUCAUUCUAACUACAUUUUUCCCUCUCCCUUGAUCUAUUCUAUAUGUUGAUUGAGUUAACUCCAGAUCACAUCAAACGCCUUGUUUAUUUUCAUUUUCGUGUUGUUUCUUUUCAUUUUCAUGUUGAUCCAUAGUCAUCAUUAACAAGGACAGCUAGUCAAGUAGUGGUUCAUUAACAAAAACCAGAAAGAAAUGAAGUUUGAGCCAAAGCAUAGUCUUGAAAAAGCUGAUGUUUACAGAUGAACAGCGAGUAAGAACUAAAUUUUUCAUACUCUCUGUGCUGAUACACAAUCUAAAUCUGGAAAUUUGACAGUAAGUUUUGAAGGGGACUAUGCACCACACCAUUGCAUUGCUAGUAAAUAAGCCCCUAUCAAAAUAACACAGAAUCUCUGUACCUUGUUUCUUGUAGGACGUUGGAGUCCUACAUACGCGCAACAAUAGCCAUGCUGUCGCGAAACAAACAAAUUGACUUCAAAUUACACUGAUAACUAUGCUUAAUAUAUAGAUUGGACUCGAGAGAGUUCGAUGCAUUUGUCGUAUUGGAGUGCUGACCUGAGUCCGACUUGAGUUUCCGUUUGGAUAAAGACAGGAAAGUUGGGUUGAAAUCAUACUCAUCCUUGAAGGGCUGUCCUAUCUGGCAUUUGUCGUAUUGGAGUGCUGACCUGCUGCCAGGAUAUAGGUAUUAUUGUGAUCCUGUCACAAUUUGUCACCUUAUAAGAGGUGGUUUCAGUAUUCUUCUAGUGGUGUAUUAUUUCAAAUCCUUCAAGUGGGGUAUAGAUUUGCAAGUCCAUAAUAACCAUCACUGUUGCUUGCUCAUGCAGCUACAAGAUACAGGGCACAGGUCUUCCAUUGUUGAUCGAGCAGCACAGUUUGCCAACUGUCGUUGAUUCUUUCCAAGUUGGAGAUGAUGUCAAGUUGUGUCAAACUCCCAUUUUCAAGAUGACUGUCUCUAUGAUUGAUGAUGCUUUGUAAGCUUCUCAAUCUGCUAUCGAAUCAAUAAUUGAUGCAAAAAAAAAUUCCAUCUUGUACUCUGAUUUGACAUGCUACAGGUUGUGAGAACUAAAACUUUGUAUUCGUUUC